UUUAUGGAGAGUUUGAUCCUGGCUCAGGAUGAACGCUGGCGGCGUGCCUAAUACAUGCAAGUCGAGCGAACGGACGAGAAGCUUGCUUCUCUGAUGUUAGCGGCGGACGGGUGAGUAACACGUGGAUAACCUACCUAUAAGACUGGGAUAACUUCGGGAAACCGGAGCUAAUACCGGAUAAUAUUUUGAACCGCAUGGUUCAAAAGUGAAAGACGGUCUUGCUGUCACUUAUAGAUGGAUCCGCGCUGCAUUAGCUAGUUGGUAAGGUAACGGCUUACCAAGGCAACGAUGCAUAGCCGACCUGAGAGGGUGAUCGGCCACACUGGAACUGAGACACGGUCCAGACUCCUACGGGAGGCAGCAGUAGGGAAUCUUCCGCAAUGGGCGAAAGCCUGACGGAGCAACGCCGCGUGAGUGAUGAAGGUCUUCGGAUCGUAAAACUCUGUUAUUAGGGAAGAACAUAUGUGUAAGUAACUGUGCACAUCUUGACGGUACCUAAUCAGAAAGCCACGGCUAACUACGUGCCAGCAGCCGCGGUAAUACGUAGGUGGCAAGCGUUAUCCGGAAUUAUUGGGCGUAAAGCGCGCGUAGGCGGUUUUUUAAGUCUGAUGUGAAAGCCCACGGCUCAACCGUGGAGGGUCAUUGGAAACUGGAAAACUUGAGUGCAGAAGAGGAAAGUGGAAUUCCAUGUGUAGCGGUGAAAUGCGCAGAGAUAUGGAGGAACACCAGUGGCGAAGGCGACUUUCUGGUCUGUAACUGACGCUGAUGUGCGAAAGCGUGGGGAUCAAACAGGAUUAGAUACCCUGGUAGUCCACGCCGUAAACGAUGAGUGCUAAGUGUUAGGGGGUUUCCG
rnacentral:rRNA from 1 species